rnacentral:tRNA from 1 species
UGGCUCAGUGGUAAAGCGUUUGCCUUCCAUGCAUGAGGCCCUGGGUUCAAUUCCCCAG